rnacentral:misc_RNA from 1 species
GAAAAACAGAACAGCUGCAACUUCUUGUUGCUUGCGAUCGCUGGAAGAUUAGGGUUUCCAUAAUUGCGAGAGAAGAUGUGGCACGAAGCGAGAAGAUCAGAGAGAAAGGUUCACGACAUGAUGGACGCAGCUCGGAAGAGAGCGCAGAGGCGAGCCGUGUAUUUGGCGAAGAGGAGAGGCGAUCCUCAGCAAUCUAUUCAGGUCAUGGGCAGUAGAUGCCGCACCUACCGGGACGAUGGUCUCUACCAAGCUACCCAGGACCAGCAGGGCUUGUAUGUCCUCUUUCGUUUCAAUGCUUGGUGGUUUUAUUUUACCCAUGGAUUGGGACUCUAUUGAAUUAUGCUCCUUUUUAUCAAUUUGAUGGAUAUUCGUAUUUAACUGAAUUACUGAAUAAUUGAAUUUGAUAUUGUGUCUUCAGUUGAAGUUUUAAUCUGGUUUUGUUAAGUAUAUGUGGGUCAAUGGUUGUUGCAUUUAUCACUCUUUUUCGUUGAUUUUACACUUAGGAAACUCAGUUGUUGAUUCUUAGAAUUGUGUUUUUUGAACAUGCAUUUAGAAAUUCACUUGAUUUUUCCUGUAUAGACUUUCAGUGCCUUAGCAUUUUGCUGAAUAUUUAUCUUCCAUCUGAUUGAAACUGAGCCUUAAAAUUUUCAGGAUACCUUGGAAUGGGAAACAGGAUGUUCUAAUUGACAGAUUUGAUGGUCGUGCCCUGCUUGAUUUUAUUCGAGAGUCUGAUUCGAGACAUUUUCGGGCUCCAGAUAAAUCAGAAGAAGAAGAAGAACUAGAAGAGUUUGUUAAUUUUGAGAGAUAUCGGGAUUUAAUUAAGCACCGACGCAGAGGAUGUCGGUACUUUUUUAUUGGUUGAUUAUGUGUUUAAUUAUCACAUCCACUUUGUUUUCUCCAUUCCCUUUUACUUAUGACAAAACCAUUUAAGGCUUAAGGUUAUUCACCUUUGGAAUUUAAUUAGAUGACAUGAGAUCACUUUUAUACAAGUGUAAAUUUAAAAGUUAGAAGUUAUUGAUGAAGAGAGUUUUUAAUUGUACAUUAACAGUUACUGAUGAAGAAGGUUUGCUACAUGUAACCCAAGAGAUGGAGGCUAAGGCAGUUAUUCCAUUUGCAUCAGACAGUACUUCUCAGCUGACACAAGCUCCUUCAAGCAAGGGUUCAUAUUCACAAGUGGGUUUCUCUUAUGAUGGUGAUGUAAAGGAGGAAUCUCAAUUUUCAGAUGGUGAUGAUAAUGAAGAGGUUGAUGAAGAUGAUGACGAUGAGGAUUUUAAUAGUGAUGAUAGCAAUGAUGAAGGAAUGGAUAUGAUAGCAAAAGAAUUUGGAGUAAAAAGGUAUGGGUGGCUCGUUUAUAUGGAUAAAAAGGCAAAAGAGGAACAGAAAAGGCAAAAGGAAAUGAUCAAAGGAGAUCCUGCUAUUAGGAAGCUGAGUCGCAAGGAAAGGAGGAAAGCUUCUCAGAUAGAAAGGGAAAGAGAGAGAGAAGCUGCUCGGAUAACAGGAACUCGAGUGCUGCAUCAUGAUCCUUACCGGGAACCCAGAAGAAGUCCAAGUUAUGAAGCUUAUUCUCGCUCUAGAAGGUCAAGAUCACGAUCGCGCUCAUACUCACCAUCACAUUCAAGGCGAUAUGCUCGAGUAGAGCAUUCUGAUGAAGUUCAUCGCAGCAAGUCAAGGACUUCUAAAAUAGAAUUUAUCACUGAAUUUGGGGGUUCUGGUGAUGGGGACGAACUGAAGCUUGAAGGAUAUUCUCCACCAUCUUCUCCUCCAUCCCAAGCUGAUGUGUUGAGCCGGUCGGAGCACUCAACCUUUAAUUAUUGCAAAAAGAUAGAUUGGACAGUCUUUACACUGCUGCAGCUUACCCAUUUUUUUUAGCUGAAGAAAACUUUUGUGGUUUAGAUUAGAUCAGGUCUAGGUUACCUUCUUCAUAAGCGCCGAGAUGGAGGGGGAACAAGGCUUCUUUUCUGAAGCUCAUAUUUUCCCUCUGAUGGAUUUAGUAUAGUCGCUUCCAAGUUGUGUGGAAGCAUUGGAAUGGCAUCUAAUGCUUAUGCUGUUCUGCAGGCCAUCUUCUGUUCGUAUACUUGAGGCAUUGUAUGUUGAUCCUGCAUCUGGUGUAUCCCUUGAUAAGGAGAAGAUCACUAAAGCAGUGAAACCAGUGGUAAGCACAUCAUCAGCACUAGCAAAGUUAACCAAGUCAAGUACUUCUGGGGGUCCCUUGAAGCAGCAGCCAGGGGAGAAAAAAGAAACUCCUCAGGAGAGACUUAAAAGGAUCAUGAGCAAACAGCUAAACAAACAAAUUAAAAAAGAUACUGCUGCUGAAAUUGCCAAGAAACGAGAACAGGAGCGUCAGAGGCUGGAGAAACUUGCAGAAACAAACCGGUUAAGUCGUUAUAGGCGUCGUAGCCGCAGUAGGAGCUAUAGUCGAUCUCCACCUAGAAGACACCGACACAGUAGAAGUCCAAGUAGGAGCAGGAGUUCUCGAAGAUACCAUUCUCGCUCCGGUUCUCGGUCUCACUCCCAUUCUCGUUCUGGAUCUCGCUCUUAUUCCCGUUCACCAAGGGUGAGAAGUCAUUCAAGGCAAUCGUAGAUAUGGUGUGGCAUUGAGGAAAUUUAUAUUUAUGUUUCAAGCAUUAUGUUGUCACAAAAUUUUACCAUAGGGCACUUUUGGCCCUAAAGUACUUAUGGUGAUGUGUUAGGCAAAGAUGAUGGAAAUUGUAUGAGCCUCAAUCUUUGGUCUUUGAUCUUACUGCUUGAUUGCAUCUACUGUUUGUGAACAUUGUGCAAGAUAUACAAAUGAGAGAUUAAAAAGUAUAUAUUAAGUUUUGUCUAUAAUAACAUUGGUUUAUGCCA